UACGUAGGGGCUAGCGUUGUCCGGAAUUACUGGGCGUAAAGGGUGCGUAGGUGGUUUCUUAAGUCAGAGGUGAAAGGCUACGGCUCAACCCUAGUAAGCCUUUGAAACUGGGAAACUUGAGUGCAGGAGAGGAGAGUGGAAUUCCUAGUGUAGCGGUGAAAUGCGUAGAUAUUAGGAGGAACACCAGUUGCGAAGGCGGCUCUCUGGACUGUAACUGACACUGAGGCACGAAAGCGUGGGGAGCAAACAGGAUUAGAUACCCGCGUAGUCCCUGAGCGGG
rnacentral:rRNA from 1 species